GGGCCGACCGCGGGGGGGCGCUGCGGCCUGCUGGACCGGCCGGCGCCCGCGCGUCCGGUGACCUGCGGGCAGGGGCGCGGCUCCCGGCCUCCGCGCCGGGUGGGCGGCGAUUUGCUGCAUGUAAAGAAUAACAGCUGUGGUUUGUGGUUUUUGUUUUGUUAUAGCAAAAAUAGCUCACGCUCUUUGAUGAUACUGAAAAAUACAGGAAACUAAAAAUCACCUUUCACCCCAGCACCUGGUGAGAUGAGCAGGUCUAGGAGAAAAUGUGGGAGACUUUCCCUAUAGGAGCCAGAUCAGUUCUUGGUCCGUAAUGGGUAUAUGGUCCCUGUGCAAAGUUGCCCAGGACUGUCUCCAGACUAUCUCCAGAAUAUCCAAGAGACUCAUAUUGGUGGCUGCCUCUAGGCAGGGGUCCUGAAGGUUUGUGUAGAGUGGGAGACUAGACUUUUCAAUGCUGUUUUGCACCAUUUGAAUUUUCUCCUUUGUUUGAAUUUUUGGUACCAUGACCCAAUUUUUAAAAACCACUUAACAUGUCACAAAGCAUGACAGAAAAGGCACUAGAAAAGUGAGUCCCACAAAGAAGAUGCUGUGCAGCAAUAGGCUUAGAGAAGCAGAAGGAUUUUGCAAACAUGUGAUAAUUUUCUCUUCUUUUCUGCCAGGGCACUGGGGUCACACCAGACCCGGUUAAGCAAGCCCAGAGCUUGAUAUGUACAAUCCAGAGCCCGGGUAUUCCUUUUAUGGGGAGUGGAGCUUUCCCCAGCCCGGAACUAUCAUUGUAACCAAGACCUGGCUGGAUGGGAGGAGUCAAUCCUCUUAUGAUAUGAUUGCAAAUAUUUAUUUUAGCUUAUUUUUGUUGAUUAGCUUUUUUUU